GACGAACGCUGGCGGCGUGCUUAACACAUGCAAGUCGAACGAAGAGCGAUGGAAGCUUGCUUCUAUCAAUCUUAGUGGCGAACGGGUGAGUAACGCGUAAUCAACCUGCCCUUCAGAGGGGGACAACAGUUGGAAACGACUGCUAAUACCGCAUACGAUCUAAACUCGGCAUCGAGGAUAGAUGAAAGGUGGCCUCUACAUGUAAGCUAUCACUGAAGGAGGGGAUUGCGUCUGAUUAGCUAGUUGGAGGGGUAACGGCCCACCAAGGCGAUGAUCAGUAGCCGGUCUGAGAGGAUGAACGGCCACAUUGGGACUGAGACACGGCCCAGACUCCUACGGGAGGCAGCAGUGGGGAAUCUUCCGCAAUGGACGAAAGUCUGACGGAGCAACGCCGCGUGAGUGAUGGCGGCCUUCGGGUUGUAAAGCUCUGUUAAUCGGGACGAAAGGCCUUCUUGCGAAUAGUGAGAAGGAUUGACGGUACCGGAAUAGAAAGCCACGGCUAACUACGUG
rnacentral:rRNA from 1 species